rnacentral:rRNA from 1 species
GAUGAACGCUGGCGGCGUGCCUAAUACAUGCAAGUCGAGCGAACAGACGAGGAGCUUGCUCCUUCGACGUUAGCGGCGGACGGGUGAGUAACACGUAGGUAACCUACCUAUAAGACUGGGAUAACUUCGGGAAACCGGAGCUAAUACCGGAUAAUAUUUCGAACCGCAUGGUUCGAUAGUGAAAGAUGGCUUUGCUAUCACUUAUAGAUGGACCUGCGCCGUAUUAGCUAGUUGGUAAGGUAACGGCUUACCAAGGCAACGAUGCGUAGCCGACCUGAGAGGGUGAUCGGCCACACUAGAACUGAGACACGGUCCGGACUCCUACGGGAGGCAGCAGUAGGGAAUCUUCCGCAAUGGGGGAAAGCCUGACGGAGCAACGCCGCGUGAGUGAUGAAGGUCUUCGGAUCGUAAAACUCUGUUAUUAGGGAAGAACAAACGUGUAAGUAACUGUGCACGUCUUGACGGUACCUAAUCAGAAAGCCACGGCUAACUACGUG